AAGAAACAAGAGAGCAUGUCACUUCUGCUUGUGUUUGUCCAACAGAAUGCACGCGCGGUCGAGGAGCCAGGGAAGUGGAAGCCGACUGUGUCACCCGUGAGUGCCAUCCAUCUACAGUAGCAGCAGUGAUCAUGAAGGGGACAGCGCUGAUCAUCUCCAGAAUGAAUGGGACACGUAGUACUUGCUCCCAGACGUUGCCCUGGAAACACAAAGCACACACAAGAGGGCCCACAGGGGAAGAGGUCUGUCCACCCAGAUGAUCAGCUUCCUGCAAGGUGCAAGGACAUGACAUGACAGGACAAAGAGCAAAGGU